rnacentral:rRNA from 1 species
AUUGAACGCUAGCGGGAGGCUUUACACAUGCAAGUCGAACGGCGGGGCAGACGGGUGAGAAGUAUGUCGAAACGUGCGCAGUAGCGGGGGAACACUAGUCGACAGAAUGGCUAAUACCGCAAUAUCUUGGAACGGCCUAUAUGGGAUUAGCUAGGUGGUGGGGUAAAGGCUCACCAAGGCCACGAUCCGUCGCUGGUUUGAGAGGACGACCAGCCACACUGGGACUGAGACACGGCCCAGAAUCCUACGGGAGGCAGCAGUGGGGAAUUUUGGACAAUGGGGGAAACCCUGAUGCAGCCAUCCCGCGUGUAUGAUGAAGGCCUUCGGGUUGUAAAGUACUUUUGGCAGAGAAGCGGUACCUACAGAAUAAGCACCGGCUAACUCCGUGCCAGCCGCCGCGGUAAUAC